GCGGCCACAUCCGGUCCUGACUAUGGCCAGACUGUGUGUCCUGCAGGGGGCGUCCUGGCUGUGCCCUAGACCGGGGCGGAACCUGGCACCCCCGCCCGCGUUGUAGCACUUUCCGGGUUCCGAAGUAGUGGCUGACGGUGCUGCCAGGGGAGAGCCAGGCGUGGAACGGCCACAGCUGUCGGAGAGCGGCCAGGAAGGAAGCCGAGGUCCUUUGCGAAAUGUUGAGGAAUAAGCGACGAAAAUGCCAGACAAGAUCCUUGCCCUCACCGAGUUCCGGGAGGGAGACUAACAAACAGAUAAAGGACACGUGCGUUAAUGUCAAGUAGUGACAAAUGCCAGAAAGAAAGGAACUAGCUGAAGCCAUAGAGCAUGGUAGGAACUUCACUGUCAGGGAAGGCCCCUUCGAGGAGGGUUAUUUAAGCUGAGGCUUGAAGACUGGGAAGAAACCUCUACAGGGAUUGACAGGGAGAACCUUUGAAGCAAAGGGACCAGGAGAAUAAAGGCCUCGCCAUGAGGAGGAGAUGGACGUUCCAAGAGGCAACACCAGUGGGGAAGAACGUGGGGUCCUCCAUGUGCCACACUCGCCACUCCACAAGGCCCAUGGAAGUUGUACAGAGGAUCCAUCCUAGGAUGCCGAUAGUGAAACCAGACACUUGGUGAUUGGGGCCAUUGAUGAGCAGAGUCAUGGUGGCAGCGUGCCCAGGGUAACUGCAACGACACAAGACAUGUUGGUUCCAUGGAAUGGUUAUUACAAAUAAUGCUGCGAUGAACAUUUGUAUAUAAAACUUUGUGUGGAUAUAUGCUCCUGUUUCUCUUGUGGAAUACCUAGGGGUGGAGUUGGUGCUUCACAUGGUAAGUGUGUAUUUUUUCAAAAUUGCUAAACUGUUUCCCCAGUGGCUACACUAUCUUACAUGGCCAUUAGCAGUGUAUGAAGGCUCCAGUUUCUUCUCCAACAUUUGUUAUUUUUAGUCUUUUUGACAAUAACCAUUCUAGAUAACAUUAUAUGUUACCAAAACGAAGGUGUUCACAGUAUAUCAAGUAUCAACAGCAUGUUACAAAAUAGGAUGCACAAUACAUCACAGAUACGAGUUGAAUUGGAAGGCUGUAUGCUGAAUUACUAAGAGAAAUUUCCAACUGUGUUCGAGGGAUUAUAACUUUUUAAAGCUAUUUGUAUUGUGAAGAAUCACAUACAUAUAGGAAAGUGUAGAAGGUCUACGUGAACAGCUCAAUGAAUUAUGACGGGGCAAACACCCAUGUAGCCACUACUUAGUUUAAGGUAUGCAGUAUUUCACUUCCUGAAUCUAAAAUGCAGGUAACAAAACCAUAAGUAUAUACAGUAAUAUGAUCUGAUUUUUGCUAAUAACAUGUGCUGGGAAGAUACAAAACAAGAUACAUCUGAAUACUGGGAUUACUAAUGAUUUUUCUUUUUCUGUUUUCAGGUUAAAGACUAUUACUUUUUUACUUGGAAAAAAGGGUGGCGCAUACAGAGAUACAAGCAGAGAAAUGUACUUGUUAGUGACUAUCAAGAGCAAUAAAAACAUGGGUGUCUUCCAACCCAAUCUCCCACCUCUUGGAAUCAAUUCUAGGGGACAAAUCAGACAGUGUGAUCCAAGCGCCUGGGCAGUGAUGAUCACAAGCAGUGUGAUUGAUACUAGGGCUUGCCUUUCAGGUACUCCACUCCUAAUCUCUGUCACCCCAAGCCAGAAGAAUAACCCACCAGGUGAGAAACCCAGGCCAAUAUAGACAUUUAUGGACUGACUGACCUAGAUGAGGGGUCCUCAUAGUCCAAAGCCUUGUAUUUCCGGGUGCCCCAAAACCCUCCAGUUGAAGGUUCUAUUUCCAGCUACAUCCUAUCUGCUCUCAUGCCAUUGAGGCUGACUUUGGUAGGCCAGCCACUUGCAAGGUUUUAACAUCUCAACCUAGAAUUUUCAUUUGAAAGGUGAGAACAAUCUUGAUUUUUACCUUUUUUUAAAAAGCAAGUACUUUUAGACUGACAAAAAAAUUGCAAAAUAAUACUGAGAAUUCUUCUAUACCCUAAUCCAGCUACUCCUCAUGUUAUGAUCUUACAUAACCAUGGUACUAUUAGCAAAACCUGGAAGCUCUUAUUUCAAUUGCACCAUUUUCCCCAUUAAUACCCUUCCUUUCUCUGGUCAAGAAACCAGUCCAGGAUCUCACAUUGUUUUUUUGCUCUGUCAUCCAGGCUAGAAUGCAGUGGUGUGAUCAUAGCUCACAGCAACCACAAACUCAUGGGUUCAAGCGAUCCUCCUGCCUCAGCAUCCUGAGUAGCUGGGACUACAGGCGUGUGCCACCCCACCCAGGUGAUCUUUCAAUCUUUUGUUAGACGGGGUCUCCCUCUUGCUCAAGCUGGUCUUGAACUCUUGACCUCAAGCGAUCCUCCCAACGUGGCCUCCCUGAG